UAUGGGUGUUGGCACGAAAUGCUAAACACCGUCACCUGGCUCGGGCCCGGAGGCGAGGAGUGGAACUUGGUUCGAAACCAAGGGAAAUAAGCAAAUCUCAACCUAUCCCUCAGGAGCGUGGCGUCGCUUAAAGCCGCAAGAGAAAAUGUUGAUAUCAGGUACAUGUACUUACUCAGAGUGCCAAAUCACGAUCUGACACACGUCCUGAAAUAAAGAGUUAAGGCUUCCGAAAGAGUCUUUUGUCAGCAUUUGGCAUCUGUCCCAGGUACAAGCCUUUCAAUUCCUGUUUUACAGAAGUCAUUCGCAGCAUCUUUAGCUGUCCUCCCAUUGCCUGCAUGUUUCAUGCAAUAUACGUUGAUAUUUAUCUAUAGGCAUUCGUGCACAUCAACUUUUGUUCGUGCCUUUGCUAAAUGCAUGUGUUCAAAUUGAAUUCAAAGUCGGGAUCUUGAAAGCAAGUCCACGAUUGUCAGCUUUCCCAGGUGAAACCAAUUCAAGCUCCUCUUUUUUGAAAACUUUUGAGUCCUUUUCAAAGAGUUCUUGCUGUGCCGAAGCAGGAGGGCAGAGUGAGAAAGUUAAACCCGAGGCGCCGGGACAAAGAGCGCGAGACAGCGACUUGUCACAGCACUUGUGGGGAAAGUUUGCGGUAAUGCUGUACUAUAUCCUGCUCAGCUGUGGAGAAAGCGCGAUGCAGCCAGACCAGUGCAAUAAUCCAGCGUCACCCUGCCAAAAAGUGUGCCGUCCCUUUCCUGACGGUGCAGAGAUGGUGACAGAAAGAGAGAGAAAGAGUUGCAAUCGUCCUGUCUUCCUCUGCUUUCAGGCAUUGUCAUGGGCAGCACAGUGUGUGACGUCAGCGCCCCCCUUUCGUCCUUUUGUUAUUUGUCCAUUUAUUUCUCAAAGUACUGUCCUCAUGCCGCAUUUUCUCCCACUUUUGCUCUGUAAACUCUCUGGAGGGAAAGAAAGAACCGUUUCUUGACGCCCGACUUUGGGAGAGAGAGAGGGACACGGAUAUAAAUAAAGCACAAGUGCGCAAGUGAAUAGAGAAAGAGAAGCUGCCCUUACAAAUCUCUCAGUCUGUCUUCCUGCCUUCCGACCGGAGCGCUUGUAAAACUUUCAGCUGUGGCGUCCAGGGCCGGCCUCCAUUGGCACCGGUUCAAGAAGAGAGCUGGCUGCGUCUAAAGCUCCCGCUGACUGUCUCGGAGGAAGACGAGCUCACAGAGAGAGAGAGAGAGAAAGGGGGUCGGGCUGGUACCCAUGAGGAGGGUGUCGCUGCGGACAGUAGGUCAGGAUAAGGGGGGCGGCAGAGGUGGCACAAGUGCCAACGGCAGCUGCUCUGGGAGUUCAGACAGGGAGCAUGAACCAGAGAGAAAGAGGACACUCAACAUCCCAAAGUUCUUCAUUACCGGUGAUGCUCUGCACUCUUAAAAAUAAAGGCUGCAAAAGGGGGGUUUCACAACGUAUACGUUUUCACAAAAUAUAUAUAUUUUUCUACUAUAACAAACCUUUUGUGCAAUGGAAAAUUGCAUGGAUGUUAAAGGUUCAUCACUGGACUGUUAAUGCCAAUAAAGCAAUUUUCUUUUUAAGAGUGCAGGACACUCUUCUGUGCACCUUCUGCAAAGUGACAUUGUAAAUGUCUUUUUGAAUGCAUGUAAUUAUAACAUUCAAAGAAAUGUAUAUAAAGUUUAUCAAGACAAACUUGUGACAAAGAUUGAAUGUUGGCUUGACAAAGACUUGUUUAUAGAUAGAUAGAUAGAUAGAUAGAUAGAUAGAUAGAUAGAUAGAUAGAUAGAUAGAUAGAUGACAUAUACACUGCUCGUGGUAAGAUUUUUGUAAGGUUUCUUUGAUGAAUAGAAAGUUCAAAAGAACAGUAUUUAUUUGAAAUUUUGAAAUCCUUUGUAACUGACCCAAAACUUUUGAACAGUAAUGUACAGCAAUAAAGGUUUUCUGAGUUCCCAUAAUUCCACUCAGAUGACAGCAUCCAGGUCAUGUCUAUCCAGGGCUGCUUGCACCAACUGGACUUUGCCAUUGAGCUAAAUGGAAAUGCUAACAGAUAUCUCCUUCAGGGUUGUAUUCCACCUUAAACAACUCAGUGCCACCUGUGACCUCAUCUGAUAGUGCUCUGUGUGGCAAAUUGGCUCUGAUAGACAGAUAGUCCUGCCUUUUUCUGGGAGACCUCACCAAAUGGCCCCAACUGCCUUAAUGACACAUAAUGGCUGGAGCUGAAGGACGGCUGAUGGGGAACGUCCUAGGCGCGUUACUCGAGCGCUGGGGGGACUCUGCAGGGUCUAAUAGUCUCUUCGGCGCCAGCAGCUGAAGGACGUGGCCUCUCCCACAGGAGCUAUUACCCAGAGUCCCUCCACACUGAUGUCAUCCUGUGUAACGCAACGCUGAAGCUGCGGAGAGAACCAAAGUUCUGUUCACUUCCCCCAUCUGUAUGCAGUGACAUUCAUGUGAAAUAAGGACACAAUGAAAGCCACUUGCUUUUAGCAAUACCGUCAGAGGCUUGUCACCUGCUUUGCAAGUGUAUAAUUGGGCAGGCUUGGUGACUUUCAAUGCAGUCCUUGCACAUUUCUCAUUUACACAUUAAAUUAACCGAGAAAAGAACUUUGCAAGACAUUUCAGCUGGGAUUUCUGUGGUUACAUUGUUUGCAUAAGGCCAAUCCUGAUACGACAUUGUGCUGGAGCACAAUUUUUUUGUGCAUUUUUUGCCUUCAUUGUACAAUUUUUGUCUGUGCAAAAGUCAGACUUUGUUUGAAAAUCCUUUAAAAGAAGGGUUAAAAAUAAGGUUUAUAGGACUUACAGAUAGAUACAUAGAUAGAUAGAUAGAUUAUGUUCUGGGCAUUGCUAGUUGAAUGCUAGGGUAUUCUGGGGGUUGCUGGGUAGUUGCUAGGGUGUUCUGGGGGUUGCAAGGUUGUUAUGAGAGUUUGGGGGUUAUUAUAAGGGUGUUCUGGGGCUUGCUACGGUAUUCAGUGGGUUGCUAGGUUGCUUUGGGAGUUGCUAGGGUGUUUUGAGGGUUUUUGGGUGGUUAUCAGGGUGUUCUGGAGUUCACUAGGAGUUUCCGGGUUGUUUUGGGGGUUGAGUGGUUGAAAGGAUGGUAUAGGGGGUGCUAGAUGGAUGCUAGGGUGAUUUGCAUUUGCUAGAUUUUUGCUGUGGUGUUCUGGGGGUUCCUAGGUAGUUGCUAGGAUGUUCUAGGUGUUGCUGUUUUUUGAGGGGGGUUGCUGGGUAGUUGUUAGGGUGUUCUACGGGUUGUUAGAUUGUUUUGAGGGUUACUAGGUGAUUGGUAGGAUGUUCUGAGGGUUGCUAGGGUGUUCUGGGCAUUUCUUUGUGGUUUCUCUGAGUUGUGAGGUUAUUAUAAGUGUGUUUUGGGGGUAGGUGGCUGCUAGGGUGUUCUGGGGGUUGCUAGGUUAUUUUGGGAGUUGCUAGGGUGUUUUGAUGGUUGCUAGGGGUUCUGGGUUGUUUUACGGUAGUUGUAUGGUUGAAAGGAUGAUAUGGGGGUUGCUAGGGUGAUUUGCAUUUGCCAGGUUGUUGCUGUGGUGUGCUUGGAUGUUGAAGGGGGUUGUUAGGUAGUUGCUAGAGUGUUCCGGGGGUUGCUAGGAGGUUUCUUACUUUCUCAAGUCUUAUCUCUGCCAAAUUAAAUCUGAUCAUUUAGUACAGUUCUAAAACACCUCAGCUGAGUAAGCUGAAUUAAUUUAGGUACUGUUCUUAUUUGUUGCACAUCCAGUUUUCAAGUAGACAUUGUGGAAGUGCAACUCUUGAAGUAGACUUAAGACACUACAUAUACAUGUGCCUUUUAUGCAUUAUUAAUCAUCAUGAGCAAAAGAAAUGGCACCUGAAUGAAGUCUAAUAUCCACUUUUACAAUCUUGCAUUACAGAUCAUGUUUCCAGUUUUCUUUCAGUGCGAUGAUCCCGAGGGCAUUAUCACAUGAUCUUUAAGAAUCGUUCAGGGUAAUCAGUCCCUGACAAAACCACACAAGUUUGAGUUAACUGUUCAUUGACCAGCUGGUGACAAUUUGGCGUAGUUAUCGCAUUUCACAACAGGGACCAGGCAGAAGUGUACACAAAGGUUGCAGGAUGAAACAUGUUGAAAGAUCAGACACUAACAAGAAUGCAGCAUGUUAAAAGCUGAUUAAUUUUUCUGUAAACAUGCAAAUGGUAAGGAUAAGUACUCAUUUCAUGUAUAAACUAUUGUUAUUAAAUUGCACUUUUUAUGCUAUCAGCUUCAUUACAUUAUUUCUGAUCAGUUCUUUCAGAAACAUUAUCUCAAGUAUUGUUGGUGUUUUCUAUGGCAUUACUGUAAUAUUGCUCACAUUUUCUGAACACUAAGCAGGACACAUUAGUAACCCAUCCUGCAACACCUGAAAAAAAAGUUUUGCAAAGAAAAAACUAUACAAACAUUUCAACAGAAAGGUAAAAACUAUAGCCAAGAAAAGAUCAUUUUGAAAUACAUACACACUGGAAAUUUUAACUCCUCAAGCUUUCUAGUGCUUUCACGUGGGAAUGCCAUUGGAUCAGUUUUGUCAAUAAGCUUAUUGUAACCAAGGUCAAAAUAUUCACAGAGAAAUCUGAUCUUAGAUCAGUGCUAUGAUGCGGUUUCAGUGGAGGGACUUUGGAGGGGCACAGCAGAACAUCUGGGGCCACUAUGGUGAAGUGGCAUGCUGUAGUCAAUUUAGAUACAAGUAUCUGCCAAGUGCAUAUUUAUGGUUAAGGAUCUGAAUGAAAUCCCUAACUCUGAGCACCUUAGCAACCACAUAGCAACACACUGGAGUUCCUUAGCAACGGAUUUGCAACGCCCUGGACACACUUAGAUUUGUAUGUGGUAACACCACACCACUCAGAACAUCCUCGAAACUGCAUAGCAACAUA